rnacentral:lncRNA from 1 species
AUGGGGCGGCUGGUGGCUGUGGGCUUGCUGGGGAUCGCGCUGGCGCUCCUGGGCGAGAGGCUUCUGGCACUCAGAAAUCGACUUAAAGCCUCCAGAGAAGUAGAAUCUGUAGACCUUCCACACUGCCACCUGAUUAAAGGAAUUGAAGCUGGCUCUGAAGAUAUUGACAUACUUCCCAAUGGUCUGGCUUUUUUUAGUGUGAGACAGAGUCUUGCUAUGUUGCCCAGGCUGGUCUCAAACUGCUGGCCUCAAGCAGUCCUCCCACGUCAGCCUCCCAAAGUGCUGGAAUUAUAGGCAUGAGCCACCAGGCCUGACCUAAAGCUGUAGUAAUUUAAAAAGUGUUAUAUUGGCACAGGAAUAGACAUGAGACAUUAAAAUAACAAAACAGAGAGUCCCUAAAUAGACCAAUAUGUAAAUGUCAGAGAUCUAGCACAUGAUAAAGGUGAUAUUUUGAAUCAGUGGGAGAAGGAUGGACUGUAUGCCAGGCACUGUUCCAGGCACUGGGAUCUAGCAGUGAACAAAUUUCCACAGUCAGUAUGUAGAUGUCACUUUUCUCCACCCUCAGCUCU